CUGAGAGCAUAGCCAGUGCUCUUAACUGCUGAGCCAUCUCUCCAGACCCAUAAUGUUGUUUCUUAACUACACCUGUCUUCUAGACACCUGUAGCAGCCUGGGAUACUUGGUCUCAUACAU
rnacentral:snoRNA from 1 species